rnacentral:rRNA from 1 species
CAGCAGCCGCGGUAAAACGAAGGGUGCAAGCGUUAAUCGGAAUUACUGGGCGUAAAGCGUGCGUAGGCGGUUUGUUAAGUCUGCUGUGAAAUCCCCGGGCUCAACCUGGGAAUGGCAGUGGAUACUGGCAAGCUAGAGUGUGUCAGAGGAUGGUGGAAUUCCCGGUGUAGCGGUGAAAUGCGUAGAGAUCGGGAGGAACAUCAGUGGCGAAGGCGGCCAUCUGGGACAACACUGACGCUGAGGCACGAAAGCGUGGGGAGCAAACAGGAUUAGAUACCCCGGUAGUCCCUGUCUCUUAUAC